rnacentral:lncRNA from 1 species
CGAGGGCGUGCUCCUCAACUUCGAGGACGGCGAGGGAAAGGUGUGGCGGUUCCGGUACUCCUACUGGAACAGCAGCCAGAGCUACGUCCUCACCAAGGGCUGGAGCCGCUUCGUCCGGGAGAAGGGCCUCCGAGCCGGCGACACCAUCGUCUUCUCGCACUCCACGUACGGCCAGGAGAAGCAGCUCUUCAUCGACUGCAGGAAGACCAAGACGGCCACCACCGACGCGGCGCCGGCGCCGGCCGCCGCGCCGUUGGAGAAGCCAAAGGAAGCCCGUGUAGUAGUCCGGUUGUUCGGCGUGGACAUCACCGGAGACGGGUGCCAGAAGAGAGCACGGCCGGUGGAGAUGGCGUUCGAGCAAGGCCAGGAGUUCUUGAAGAAGCAAUGCGUGGCUCAUCAUCGCUCUCCUGCCCUAGGUGCCUUCUUGUUAUAGCAGCGAUCAUAUGCAUAGUAUUGAUCUAGUCCUCCCCCUUUGUUCUUUCUUCGCCAGUUUGAUCUCGAAUCCGGUUUCUAGUGUCUGUUCUUCGUCUUUGCAAAGAACUUGUUAUGUCAGACUGCAAGACGAGUUGUAUGUACACCAUUAGGAAGCCUUGGAGAUGGUAGUAGUAAAUUAGUAAUCCUACAAAAUUAUGCAAGUUUCUGCCCAUCAUCGAGAGUACAGGAAUAAUAAGUUAAUUCGAUAUGAUGCACUGUUGGCAAAGAUGUGAUUUCUUCUUGUUUUGCUGAUAGAUUUCACUCUUGGCAAACAAAUCUAGCAUGGUUAGCUUUGCUGUGCAUGAAGUUGAUGUUGCACAUUUGUAUACAUAUUAACUAAUUAAGCAAUAAUCAAAGUUAAAGAUGCAAAAAUCUCAUUUGCAUAAUGGAGCAAAUUAUGUAGUAGGAACUCAGAGUUUUACAUAGCAACAUUGGAUACUUGAUGUUUUUGCGCCAGUUCCACUUAUAAUUGUGAUAAUUGUGCGAGAUUGAUGUGCGUGCUUUCAGUCAAAGUGAGUACUAAUAGAUCGCUGCUCGGCUGCUGUUUUGUUGAUUCAAAAGGAUGAAGAGUCUUGGUAUGAUUCGUAGUUGGGUAUGAUCGAACUAAAUAUCACCCUAUCAAGUUUUUUUCAACUCCAUUUUCUUUCAUGAUCAUAGUUUGAACUCCAAAAGGAUACAUCAGCUGUUCCUACGUACCGAAGUAUAUAGUUCAAAACUCAAAUGUUGUUGAUUGUUUUCUUUCUUCGAAUAUAACUUUCUUGAUUUUUCUUGUAUCGUAUGUCAGCUAUCCUUUUGUUUCGAUUUGUUUUAGAGACUCCUUUAAGAUUUCAACAUAUAUCUGUGUGCAAAAUAAUGUACUAUUUGUUCAUAGUUCAUACAUCGUUAGUACUUAGUAAACCCCCCAGGAAACGCAAACCUACAGUAAUGUUUUGAGUUAUGCUCCAUUGUCUAUUUAUUACACUAUCUAUUGCACUAGUGUGGUUAAUUUGAAUUAUCUGAUAUUAUGAUCUCAAUAUAUCUCAUUUUGAUUCCAUAUAUUUGCAAAGAGGAUAUAUCUUGGGGGACCACGGUGAAAUGCUUAUGGUAUAAAAGGGGGAAGUCUAUGAGGGUGAACUGUAUAGGUUUAUUCGUGGAUGUGUCUAUCUAAGUGAUAAAUGAAAGAAAGAAAUAUUCUUCCCUCUUCCUUUUUUUUAAAAAAUGUUUGGGGAAGUAAUUUGCUCUUCACUUGUGUUUGUGCAAGAGAUGUAGAUGAUUUAGCCUUGCAUCACUAUAUAGACUUAUUGGCCUCAACAUACUGAAAAUAAACUAUUUACACUAAAGCCUCUCCCUAAAAAUAAAGUGACUGCCUUUAAUUAAUUUUACGGGCAGUCGAGUCGUAUUCUCAAGACCUAGUUACAAGUUAUGAAGUAUGGUAUACACUAUUUAAGCUAUGCUUUUGAAGUUAUAUAGUUUAUGCGGGCUUCUGUUCUGAUGGUACCUACAGAAUCUAUUUUGCAUUCCUUCUUAAGUUAAACAGGCAGGAAGAAACAAAAAAAAACUGCUCAUAAUUAUCGUUCAUCAGAGAUGGACUUAUCUUCUUAUUCUGAACUCACCAAAACAUAAUUCUACUAAUUUUCUGUACGUGUAUCAUUCCAUUCAGAAUAUUAAAAUUUUGAGAAACUAAUCUUUUUAAUAUUUACCCUUUUCGAUUGGCUAUUCCUGCAGUCUACAUGGGAAAACAUUUCUUCAGUUUUGCUGACAAAAUUUUCUGCGUCUACACUUUGUAAAAUCAAGAAAUUUUUACUUAUGUUAUCCUCAUCGUUGUGGCACCAAGCCUCUUAGCUUUGUCGUGCUAGUGCAGAUGCAUACAUACACAUAUAGGUGCAUAUGACAGUCACGGCAACAUGGGUGAGGAGCCAAUAAUGUACUACUAAAAUUUUUCACUCUCUCUUAAAAACAACUGUCAAAUACUCAAUUUCCAUGUAAGGCCAUGUCUAAAGUUUAGCCCCUCUUCUAUUAAUAGUAGCUAUGGUCAGUUUAAUUUCCUCUUGACAUGCAAAACCACAGUAUAAGUUCAAGCAAAACUUGAGAUUAUGUGGAAGACCCCACAAAUCUAAAUGUAGACAGAUAAUUCCCCGGUAGAUCUUUUUGUGCUCUCCUGGUCAGAGGUUUAAUCUCAACAUUGUGAUCCUUCGUUUAUUUUUAUAAGGCAUAUUUCGACAACUAUCCAAGCCAUGCUUUGACUCAUAAUUAAUCUAAAACUUUUUAGUUAUGUGGCACGAAAUUGGUAUUAUUGGAUUCGGAUUUAAGACCACUUUCUAGUUAUUAUGAUUUUUUUUAACUAAUAGUGUUUGUUUGGCAAAGCUCUUCUUGCAAGUGAUUCUUUGAGAGAAGUGAUUCUCUACAGCUCUCUAAUCUAUAGGUUUAAUUUUACAGAGGAAGUGAUCAUGUGCAAGAAGUGAAUCAGAAGAAGCUAAUUUUUUAGCUCUUAAACCCUUUCAUUUCAGAGAAUCACUUUAAAAAUUUAUCAUAGAAUUACUUCUUUAUAAAAUAUCAUUUAGCAGAGCUCCUCUUGCAACCAGCCUGGAAUCUACUAUAGGAGCCCUACCAAACAUAUCGUUAAUAGAACAUUAUAGAAAGAAUUUGUAGCAAAAAAUCAUUUUUGCUCGGUCAAAACUAUGGCCUAUAAAAACAAUGAGGCGGGCAAGGGGGUAAUACCAGCUUUAAUUUGCAGAAAUUUUCUUUAAUAAAUUGAAUAGACUGGAUAGAGAUCGAUAUAAAUCAUAUUGAUUAAUGCCUUGCUUAUCAGCUCAACGUCCAGGGUUGUCCAAUAUCUCAGCAAAGACAAAAUGAGGGCAAAACGACAAGGUCCACUACUCACAUCUGAAAAUGGACAUCUAAUUGUAAGUAUCAAUAUAUUAUAGCAGGAGGUGUGUUUUAUGCAUUUAUGCAGGAGCUAGCACGCUUUGGCAUUUCAAGUUUCUUUUUUUAUAUAAGAAAAAACAAGGGCACACAUGCACACAAAGAGUGAGCACAUUGUAUUAUAUCAUGAUUCACAAAAUCUCAAUUCUUACAUGGGGUUUUAUGGCUAGCAGGUUGGUAUUACGAUUAUAGGCAAUAAAAUCUGCAAUUAAUUUUAUUCCCCUAGUAGUUAUAAUUCCAUGGUUUCGAUCUUGCCAUCAGGCUCCGGUCAGAAUUACUAGAAUCUGCCGUCUGGGGAACCACAAACCAGCUGUCAUGAUAGCUUCAGUUGACCAGCAGUAGGUUGCAGAAUCGGGAGUGUUCUGGUCCAAAAAGCUCGUCAAAAUUGGCAGAGAGAGGCCGGGCACCUGUUCAUCAUUACAUUGCUGAGACACACAGACACCAGCUAGUGUAUCACUUGCUAGUAUAAAAUUAGUCACUCAAUCGAUGUAUUCAACGUUAGCUUUCUUGCUUUAAUCGUAUUAAAUCCUGUAAAGCGAAAAAUCGAAGCAUAUGUUCAUCAUCGUCGAGUGAAUCGAUCGACAAACAGUAGCAUUUCACAUUCAUAUCACUCCUUGCAAGUGUGAUGCCACUUGCAUCCACUAUAUAUCCUGUAGGCCAACUUGCACAAAGAGCACGACAUGGCUGGGUAGCUAGGUUCAUCGCACUGAUCGAUCAAGUACAUUGAAUAUUUCAAUCCUGUUAAGCUGGGCAACAACUGCUAGCUUCCUGCAGUAUUUGUACGGAGUAUUUGCUAUCUCUAGCUCUGUACGAGUCGCAUCAACUUUAAACUCCUUGUCUGGAAACAUUAAGAUUAAUACAUGGUCCAGAUUAUGAUAUUUCCUCUCUACUAAUACGCACUUCGAGGGAGAACACAUACAGCCAUCUGCUUGUCAUCUUUCAAACAAAGCAGCUUGCUUGCGACAAUAGUUUACUGUGCAUGCACAUGUUGCACAUUUGGAAAUAAUCCAUCUCUUUUUUUUUUUGGUUUGCAUUAUUGCGGCAUAUCAUAUAGUUGUCCAAGCAGGGAAGCACCUACCGAUUGAUACUCCAUGCAUGUUGAAAAGUCCAAGGAUCUAGAAGACGCGUGGCGACCAUCUCAGAAACAUUCCUCAGGUGACCUAGGCCCCAGCUGACGAACAAGCAUAGAUUCCGACGACCAAAUGUGCUUUAUAUAUACCAGCAUGGAAUUAAACACAAUGUAGAAUCAAACCAAUACGUAUAUAUACGCGUACAUGUCCAAAUAAACACUAUAUAUCGGUCUGCGUGUAUCUAUAAAUAUGCAGCUAGCUUGCUGUUGUCGAUCGUGUACUGACAAAAUUAUUAAUGACGAACUGAUCGUCAGCUAAGUGCCUGCGCCUGAACUGCAAGCCCAUGCAUCAUGCAUGUGUGUGCAGUCAGUGUCAGUGCAUCUGGACAUGCACUCUCGCUUGCUCGCCAUCCAUGGCCGGCCAUGGCCGUCUGCAAGUGCGUACGGCUGGAGCUUUUUUUCCACACACACACUUGAAGUCACCUCACCUCCGAGCAAACGACAACGCUGCAAAUGUAGGGCAACGCAUGUGUCCUUUCGCUUCUUGUUUUUUGGUAUCGCCAGUGCCAGCAAUGGCAACUAGCUCACCAAGGGACGGAGGAAGAUGGCGAGACUUUUCCUUCACCGUCGUCGCUGCGUCUGUGUUGUUGUUGCGUUCUUCUUUCUUCUUCGUCGUCGUCGUCGUCCUGCCCCUGUUUGCAAGUUGAUCGAGAGCA